rnacentral:snoRNA from 1 species
AAGACUAUCCUUUCAGGGAUCAUUUCUAUAGUUUGUUACCUGAAGAUACUUGAGCAACCAAAUGAGAGAUUAACACUUUGAGGAUGGGAACAGAUUUGGAGGGCUUCCUGUUUUUACAGUUUUUUUUUUUUUUCCUGAAGGAAGGCCCUAAGAGUCAGCAACUAAAACUUUUGAUUAAAUCUUAAGUUUUACUGGUUUUAAAAACCAGUUUCAGUCUACAAUAGCUGAAAAGG